GCACCUGUAGCUCAGCAGGAUAGAGCGUCCGCCUCCUAAGCGGAAGGUCCCGCGUUCGAAUCGCGGCAGGUGCGCCA
rnacentral:tRNA from 1 species